CUACGGGGCGCUGCAGUGGGGAAUAUUGCACAAUGGGGGAAACCCUGAUGCAGCAACGCCGCGUGGAGGAUGACGCAUUUCGGUGUGUAAACUCCUUUUAUAUCCCAAGAUAAUGACGGUAGGAUAUGAAUAAGCACCGGCUAACUCCGUGCCAGCAGCCGCGGUAAUACGGAGGGUGCAAGCGUUACUCGGAAUCACUGGGCGUAAAGGGCGCGUAGGCGGGUUGUCAAGUCUUGAGUGAAAUCCAACGGCUCAACCGUUGAACUGCUUGAGAAACUGGCAGCCUAGAGUAAGGGAGAGGUAGAUGGAAUUGGUGGUGUAGGGGUAAAAUCCGUAGAGAUCACCAGGAAUACCCAUUGCGAAGGCGAUCUGCUGGAACUUUACUGACGCUGAGGCGCGAAAGCGUGGGGAGCAAACAGGAUUAGAUACCCCUGUAGUC
rnacentral:rRNA from 1 species